AGGUAGAGGCAGAGGUUGUGGUAGGACUGCUAGGCGGACUAGACAGCCAGUUUUGGGAGAGAAUGUUACCCCACCUCCCAAUGCUCAAGGUGGUAUGGCUGAUGUAGUUUCUGAGUUAAAAGGAGUUUACCGAGCUAUAGAGAACCUUGCAGGGUUGAUGGCAGGUCAUGAUAGGUUUGGGACACAGCAUAAUACAGGGGCAGGACUACAGCCCAAUGAUGGUAUUGAUGUAUCUCUUCCAGAUUUCCUAAAGCUUAAGCCCUAUAUUUUCUGGG
rnacentral:lncRNA from 1 species